rnacentral:rRNA from 1 species
CCUACGGGAGGCAGCAGUGGGGAAUAUUGGGCAAUGGGCGCAAGCCUGACCCAGCAACGCCGCGUGAAGGAAGAAGGCUUUCGGGUUGUAAACUUCUUUUCUCAGGGACGAAGCAAGUGACGGUACCUGAGGAAUAAGCCACGGCUAACUACGUGCCAGCAGCCGCGGUAAUACGUAGGUGGCAAGCGUUAUCCGGAUUUACUGGGUGUAAAGGGAGCGUAGGCGGGAAAGCAAGUUGAAUGUUUAAGGUACGGGCUCAACCUGUACAAGCGUUCAAAACUGUUUUUCUUGAGUGGAGUAGAGGUAAGCGGAAUUCCUAGUGUAGCGGUGAAAUGCGUAAAUAUUAGGAGGAACACCAGUGGCGAAGGCGGCUUACUGGGCUUUAACUGACGCUGAGGCUCGAAAGCGUGGGUAGCAAACAGGAUUAGAUACCCCGGUAGUC